rnacentral:snRNA from 1 species
GAGAAAAGCACAUAUACUAAAAUUGGAGCGAUACAAAGAUCAGCAUGGCCCUUGUACAAGAAUGACACCCAGUAUUUGUUUACUGUUCUUUU